UGACAAGUCGAGCGGCAGCGGAAGUAGCUUGCUACUUUGCCGGCGAGCGGCGGACGGGUGAGUAAUGUCUGGGAAACUGCCUGAUGGAGGGGGAUAACUACUGGAAACGGUAGCUAAUACCGCAUAACGUCGCAAGACCAAAGAGGGGGACCUUCGGGCCUCUUGCCAUCAGAUGUGCCCAGAUGGGAUUAGCUAGUAGGUGGGGUAACGGCUCACCUAGGCGACGAUCCCUAGCUGGUCUGAGAGGAUGACCAGCCACACUGGAACUGAGACACGGUCCAGACUCCUACGGGAGGCAGCAGUGGGGAAUAUUGCACAAUGGGCGCAAGCCUGAUGCAGCCAUGCCGCGUGUAUGAAAAAGGCCUUCGGGUUGUAAAGUACUUUCAGCGGAGAAGAAGGU
rnacentral:rRNA from 1 species